CUACGGGUCGCACCAGUGAGGAAUAUUGCACAAUGGGGGGAACCCUGAUGCAGCAACGCCGCGUGGAGGAUGACGCAUUUCGGUGUGUAAACUCCUCUUAUAUGUCAAGAAAAUGACGGUAGCAUAUGAAUAAGCACCGGCUAACUCCGUGCCAGCAGCCGCGGUAAUACGGAGGGUGCAAGCGUUACUCGGAAUCACUGGGCGUAAAGGACGCGUAGGCGGGUUGGAAAGUCAGGUGUGAAAUCCUACAGCUUAACUGUAGAACUGCACUUGAAACUUCUAAUCUAGAGUAUGGGAGGGGGAGAUGGAAUUAGUGGUGUAGGGGUAAAAUCCGUAGAUAUCACUAGGAAUACCUAAAGCGAAGGCGAUCUCCUGGAACAUUACUGACGCCAAGGCGUGAAAGCGUGGGGAGCAAACAGGAUUAGAUACCCUUGUAGUC
rnacentral:rRNA from 1 species